rnacentral:rRNA from 1 species
GACGAACGCUGGCGGCGUGCCUAAUACAUGCAAGUAGAACGCUGAAGGAGGAGCUUGCUUCUCUGGAUGAGUUGCGAACGGGUGAGUAACGCGUAGGUAACCUGCCUGGUAGCGGGGGAUAACUAUUGGAAACGAUAGCUAAUACCGCAUAAGAGUAGAUGUUGCAUGACAUUUACUUAAAAGGUGCAAUUGCAUCACUACCAGAUGGACCUGCGUUGUAUUAGCUAGUUGGUGGGGUAACGGCUCACCAAGGCGACGAUACAUAGCCGACCUGAGAGGGUGAUCGGCCACACUGGGACUGAGACACGGCCCAGACUCCUACGGGAGGCAGCAGUAGGGAAUCUUCGGCAAUGGACGGAAGUCUGACCGAGCAACGCCGCGUGAGUGAAGAAGGUUUUCGGAUCGUAAAGCUCUGUUGUAAGAGAAGAACGAGUGUGAGAGUGGAAAGUUCAC